GACGAACGCUGGCGGCGUGCUUAACACAUGCAAGUCGAGCGAUGAAGCUCCUUCGGGAGUGGAUUAGCGGCGGACGGGUGAGUAACACGUGGGCAACCUGCCUGAUAGAGAGGAAUAGCCAUCCGAAAGGAUGAUUAAUACCUCAUAAUAUUGUAGCUUCGCAUGGAGAAACAAUCAAAGGAGCAAUCCACUAUAAGAUGGGCCCGCGGCGCAUUAGCUAGUUGGUGAGGUAACGGCUCACCAAGGCGACGAUGCGUAGCCGACCUGAGAGGGUGAUCGGCCACAUUGGGACUGAGACACGGCCCAGACUCCUACGGGAGGCAGCAGUGGGGAAUAUUGCACAAUGGGGGAAACCCUGAUGCAGCAACGCCGCGUGAGCGAUGACGGCCUUCGGGUUGUAAAGCUCUGUCUUCAGGGACGAUAAUGACGGUACCUGAGGAGGAAGCCACGGCUAACUACGUGCCAGCAGCCGCGGUAA
rnacentral:rRNA from 1 species